CCCGCCCCGGAUGGGUCUAGCAUGCGAGUCGUUGUAGCAUACAAGGCGGACGGCUCAGUAACACGUAGCCAACCUAACCUAUGGACGUGGAUAACCUCGGGAAACUGAGAAUAAACCGCGAUAGAUCAUUAUGCCUGGAAUGGCUUAUGGUUUAAACAAUUUAUUGCCGUAGGAUGGGACUGCGGCCUAUCAGCUUGCUGGUGAGGUAAUGGCCCACCAAGGCCAUAACAGGUACGGGCUCUGAGAGGAGAAGCCCGGAGAUGGGUACUGAGACACGGACCCAGGCCCUAUGGGGCGCAGCAGGCGAGAAACCUUAGCAAUGUGCGAAAGCACGACUAGGUUAGUCCGAGUGAUUUCUGUUGAAGAAGUCUUUUGUCAGUCGUAAAACCACAGAUGAAUAAGGGGUGGGCAAGUCUGGUGUCAGCCGCCGCGGUAAUACCAGCACCUCGAGUGGUCAGGAGGUUUAUUGGGCCUAAAGCAUCCGUAGCCGGCUUUGCAAGUCUCCGGUUAAAUCCAGCUGCUUAACAGAUGGGCUGCCGGAGAUACUACAAAGCUAGGGAGCGGGAGAGGUAGACGGUAUUCGGUGGGUAGGGGUAAAAUCCACUGAUCCAUCGAGGACCACCAGUGGCGAAGGCGGUCUACCAGAACGCGUUCGACGGUGAGGGAUGAAAGCUGGGGGAGCAAACCGGAUUAGAUACCCGGGUAGUCCCAGCUGUAAACGAUGCAAACUCGGUGAUGCAUUGGCUUAUGGCCAAUGCAGUGCCGCAGGGAAGCCGUUAAGUUUGCCGCCUGGGAAGUACGGACGCAAGUCUGAAACUUAAAGGAAUUGGCGGGGGAGCACCACAAGGGGUGAAGCCUGCGGUUCAAUUGGAUUCAACGCCGGG
rnacentral:rRNA from 1 species